GGGACACGUGGUAUCCUGUCUGAAUAUGGGGGGACCAUCCUCCAAGGCUAAAUACUCCUGACUGACCGAUAGUGAACCAGUACCGUGAGGGAAAGGCGAAAAGAACCCCGGCGAGGGGAGUGAAAAAGAACCUGAAACCGUGUACGUACAAGCAGUGGGAGCCUCUUUAUGGGGUGACUGCGUACCUUUUGUAUAAUGGGUCAGCGACUUAUAUUCUGUAGCAAGGUUAACCGUAUAGGGGAGCCGAAGGGAAACCGAGUCUUAACUGGGCGUUAAGUUGCAGGGUAUAGACCCGAAACCCGGUGAUCUAGCCAUGGGCAGGUUGAAGGUUGGGUAACACUAACUGGAGGACCGAACCGACUAAUGUUGAAAAAUUAGCGGAUGACCUGUGGCUGGGGGUGAAAGGCCAAUCAAACCGGGAGAUAGCUGGUUCUCCCCGAAAGCU
rnacentral:rRNA from 2 species